GAAAGAGUUUGUUUGCUCAUUUACACCACCUAAGGCCAUAAGAAUAUGGCAUGGAAUAUCUUCUGGAAAUUUCUGUUCCUUUGUGUACUGGUUUUGGCUGGGAUAGAGUUAAUUUUCUUCAUAGUAACUCAUAUUUGGGCUGUGUUUUGGAUUUGUGCUGAAAACCGAGUUGAUAAUCCAGGGAUGUUUUAGUUACUGCUGAGCAGUGCUUACACAGAAGUCACAGCCUUUUCUGCUUCUCCCUUUUCUGCGUCUCACCCCACCUCACCAGCAAGUAGGCUGGUGGUGCACAAGGAGUUGGGAGGGGACACAGCUCAGCAUAUAAAGCUAGGAGAAGGAAGAAGGGGAAGUUCAGAGUGAUGGUAUCUGUCUUCCCAAGGAACUGCUAUGUGCAAUGGAGCCCUGAUUUCCUGGAAAUGGCUGAACACCUGCCUACCAAAGCGAAGUGGUGAAUUUAAUUCCUUGUUUUUCUUUGCUUGUGCACACAGCUUUUGCUUCACCUAUUAAACCGUCUUUAUCUGAACUCAGGAGUUUUCUCACUUUCACUGUCCAACUCUCACCCCUCUCCCACCAUGGGGGAGUGAGUGGCUGUGUGAGACCUAGUUGCCAGCUGGGGUUAAACCAGGACACAGAGAUGCAGGUAGAAGCCACAUUCUAGUUGUCA